ACUGCAGUGAUGCCCUCGCACCAGGGGUCACUCGGGUAACCGGCUGCCUCGUGUGGCCGGCUGGAAAUGCCGUUGUUACUGGCCUGGAGCGCGGACAGAUGGGCGCCGCCUCUAAACCUGUUUAGCACACCGAAUGUUCGUGGGGAACCCGGUGCUAAAAUAUUUGCAGACGACCUAAUUUGGGCUCAGGGUUUUUCACGCAAGGCGAUAUUUGCUCCCUUGACUUCUACAUCCAGGAAUCAGUCUCAAGAUAAAAGCUUGUCCAUUCGGGACAGAGUUUAAAACUCGAGAUCAAGGGUCUGUCUAAUCCGAAACGUCGACUGUCCGUUUCCAUCUGCAGAUGCUGACUUCAGCCAACGCUUACGGCCCUACGUGCGUUUUGUGCGGAUGAACGAGAGCGAAAAUGAUCAAACUCAGAGGAGAUCAAGUUCUUAUUGACAGCAUUUUGCUGGCAGUUAAAAUGAAUACCUCCGUGCAUUCAGUCCAACACAUCGAUGAACAAAUGGAAAAGUGUGUCCAAACGCCGGACAGCUGGAGAGGCAAAAAUUAUGUGUUUGCAUUUCUUUAUGUUAUCAAAGUUCAAAGUAAGAUUUAUUGUCAGAGUACAUACAUCUGACCACGUACAACCCUGAAAUUCUCAUCCUGUGGGUAUACUCCGCAAAUCUAUAGAACAGUAACUGUAAACAUCCAGAACUAUAAACAGUAAACAAGCCGUGCAAAUAUAAAUAAAUAACAAACAUGAAAUAACAAUAUAACUGAGUCCUUAAAUGAGGGUAGCUGUCUCCUUUUGUUCAAGAGCCUAAUGGUUGGGGGGUAGUAACUGUUCGGGAACCUGGUGGUGGUGAGUCUGAGAACUGAGGCAUUUGUAUCUCCACCUGAUGGCAGCAGCAAGAGAAGAGCCUGGCCUGCGUGGUUUCUGGGUGUUUUCUCAAUCUUCAACUAAAAGAUGCACAUGUAAAGGAAUUGCAGACUCCUCUGGGAAUGAAGCUCUUGCUUUCAGACCAUUGAAUAAAGUGAGAUACUGUCUAGACGCGUUGCACUGCAGACAAUCAUAAAUACGUACGAGGCAUUGAUUGUAUAUUCUGAGGAUGAUAAGAUAUAUCACAAGAUAUAUUGUCACAGAAAUUUGAUAAACAGUGAAUAAAUAUAGCUUUAGUCGUCUUAAAUGAUGUCUCUAAAGAACAGGCUGCGCUGUUGAAGACUGCAAAGGAGUGUAUUAAUGCCAAUUGAUGAACUUCAUUUUGCACGAGGCAAAAUUAACGAGAUAAGAAGGAAGUAUCUGGGAGACAAUGUGUCUUGGAGUGAGAAAGUUACAUUUUUCUCAGCCAAAUUUGUGACAGGAGCUACAAAUUCUCUGGUGACCUUGAUAAACCACCUCUGUGUUUAUUGAGAAGAGAGGUUUCCUGAGGGUGAGGUACAAUGGGCGGCUUUUGAUUUUUCUGUACAUGCGGGAUGGGACCUCCAUUUUGGCAAAGACCAGGUCAGUGCCUUGUGUGGAAAAUACCCUGAUUUCCUUGCUGUCAUAGUGAAGCAGUACAACGACUUCAAAUUUACUGUACAGGAAAAGAUUAAAUCCUAACCGAUUACUAGCUCGUCUGAAAUGGUGACAUUUGCAACUCAAAAUGAAGAGUUUUGUGACCUUGCAAAGCUGACGGACAAUGGCAGAACCUUUCUUACAACUAGUGCUGCUCAUGAAAGAGGUUUUAGCCUCAUGAAUCAAAUCAAAAACAAGCUGAGGAACCGUUGAAGUGAGUGUCAUUUGGAUAUGCCAAUGGGAAUUCUCUGCUGGAAGAGGAUUUAUUAGUCUGGACAAAGAUGGGUAAAUGCCAAAGACAGCAGGGAGAAAAGUGACUAAGCAACUUGAAUAUGUUCAAUAUCUUGUUCACAUUUAUGUCUCUUUUGUAAUUCAGCUACCAAUUUGGUGCUGUACGCAAUGAUUUCCAAAUAAAACACUGAUCUGCAUACAUUGUCAA